rnacentral:rRNA from 1 species
UACGUAGGUGGCGAGCGUUGUCCGGAUUUACUGGGCGUAAAGAGCGCGCAGGCGGCUGGUCAAGUCCGAUGUGAAAGCUCCCGGCUUAACUGGGAAAUUGCAUCGGAAACUGAUCGGCUGGAAGGUGGGAGAGGGUAGCGGAAUUCCCGGUGUAGUGGUGAAAUGCGUAGAUAUCGGGAGGAACACCAGUGGCGAAGGCGACUUCCUGGCCUGUUCUUGACGCUGAGGCGCGAAAGCUAGGGGAGCAAACGGG